UUUACUGAGAGUUUGAUCCUGGCUCAGGACGAACGCUGGCGGCGUGCCUAAUACAUGCAAGUCGUGCGGACUUUUUAAAAGCUUGCUUCUAAAAAGUUAGCGGCGGACGGGUGAGUAACACGUGGGCAACCUGCCUGUAAGAUCGGGAUAACGCCGGGAAACCGGGGCUAAUACCGGAUAGUUUUUUCCUCCGCAUGGAGGAAAAAGGAAAGACGGCUUUUGCUGUCACUUACAGAUGGGCCCGCGGCGCAUUAGCUAGUUGGUGGGGUAACGGCUCACCAAGGCCACGAUGCGUAGCCGACCUGAGAGGGUGAUCGGCCACAUUGGGACUGAGACACGGCCCAAACUCCUACGGGAGGCAGCAGUAGGGAAUCUUCCGCAAUGGACGAAAG
rnacentral:rRNA from 1 species